rnacentral:lncRNA from 1 species
GUGAAAUUGUACACCUGAAUCACAUCAUUAUAUGAAAGUCUAGGUUUUGACUUGGUGAUCAGGUGGGGGAAGGUUGAGAGUCUACAGUUCAUAUAAGCUCCCAGGUGCUGCUGAUACAGCUGGUUUAUGGGCCACACUUUGUUUUUUAAUUUUAAGAGUUGAUUUUAUUGUUUUGUUAGGAACAAUCUGAAGAAUACUUUAUUUUUGUGCAACAACUGAAAACAUUAUCAAAUAUAAGGGGGAUAUUAUCAGUUUGAUUUCUUUCAAGACUUAAAAAGUCCAUCAGCUAGCAAAGAACAAGAAACUGUUAUGUAAGGGCCAGUUCUGUGUUACCUAUUUGUCAUGAAAGAGAAGAUUUCGGAAAGGCAACAUUUCAACCUUUUAUCAAAUUAUAGCCUUUAUAUCAAUAUUUUUCUAGGUACUUUUCUGUGAUACAUGAGAGUUGAACCCGUUUUGACAUAAUAAUAAAAACAUGGAAUAUUUCAUGCUGUAGUUCAGACCCCAGUACCUCUCCUUCCCCAUCCCCUACUCCCUUCCCUCUAUUGAUCUUUCUGCCAUUUACUUAUAGUUAUUUUUUUUAUUUCUUGUGGGAUAUACUUGAUUGCUGAGAGCCAUAGCCAAGCAGGAAUGAUGCAUGGCAAUUUCCUUGUCAGCCUACUCAAUGUUGCUUAGAGGGAGGACUCUCCAAUGUGGAAAUGGGCUUGCCUUGGACCUUGGUCAUUUGCAGUGACAUUGCAUGAAUGUUUGAGAAAGGUAACCCUGCUCAAGGACCAGGGUGGAUCCGGGUUUAGGGUGGAUCUGGGUUUAGGGUUGAUCCUGCUGGGAAUAGGGUGGUUCCGGGUUUAAGGUGGAUCCUGCUGGGAAUAGGGCGUAUCCUGCUGCCUCAGGCACCCGCUCCUUGAGUUCCCGUUGAGUUCUCCCGGGAUUCAGAGAUUAUUUCGUAUGCAGAGCCCGGUGGAUUGUGGGAAUUUUCCCAGAACGUGCGUGUAGAGUGCCGGUGACAGUUCGAGAAUAAAGAGUUGCUA